CUCAUAUCUCUCACUUGAUGUUUUUACAUUGAAUUGGUAAAAGAAGAUUUUUAUUGGGUAGAGGAAUUAUAAAAUGAGUGCUGAAUAAAAUCAGAAUUAAUAUGUUUGUACAGAAUAAAGAGAUUGUCUUUGUCAGCUGUUUAUGCCUUGCAAUAUUUUUUAUUGGAUUAAGAUUAUAGGAGAAGCAACACAAAGGGCCAGAAAAUUUGUUCAUAUCAAGAAUUAAUGCCAUCAUUUGCAAAAGACAGAUCAUAAAUAUUUUUAUAUGAAAUGAAUUGAAUUGAAACAGAAAAGAAGUCUUAUAGAUGUAUAGUUUCAAGAAAUGGUUGUGAAUUUUUCUAUUCCGAAUCCUAUUUUUAUAUAUAAGAUAAUAUAUUUUACUACAAUUUGUAAAUUAUUUAUUUUAUAAAGAAAGC
rnacentral:lncRNA from 1 species